ACUUCAUGGUUAGGGCAUUGCAUGAGCUUGUCAUUAAAAGUUUCCCAUACUUCAUAAAAGGGCUCUCCAUUAAGUUAACAAAAAUUUGUGAUCUCAUCCCAUAAUU
rfam:Capsicum annuum cultivar Zunla-1 chromosome 12, whole genome shotgun sequence